rnacentral:rRNA from 1 species
CAGUAGCCACGGGAAUACGUAGGUGGCAAGCGUUGUCCGGAUUUAUUGGGCGUAAAGCGAGCGCAGGCGGUCAAUUAAGUCUGAUGUGAAAGCCCCCGGCUCAACCGGGGAGGGUCAUUGGAAACUGGUUGACUUGAGUGCAGAAGAGGAGAGUGGAAUUCCAUGUGUAGCGGUGAAAUGCGUAGAUAUAUGGAGGAACACCAGUGGCGAAGGCGACUCUCUGGUCUGUAACUGACGCUGAGGCUCGAAAGCGUGGGUAGCAAACAGGAUUAGAUACCCCUGUAGUCCCUGUCUCUUAUAA